GCCGCCUUAGCUCAGUUGGUCAGAGCAGCUGUUUUGUAAACAGCAGGUCGUGGGUUCGAAUCCGACAGGCGGCUCCA
rnacentral:tRNA from 1 species